GGCGGGGCGGCGUGAAUUGGCGAAUGAAUCAAGGGAACUGCAAGGAAUUCAGUAUAGCUGGGGUAGGAAGCUGGAGAGAUUGAAAUCCCUUUGCACGUUGGAUGAGCUCCCUGACCAGACGGGGCCACCAAAUUGUCUCUGCAGAUGGGCAGAGCCACUGGCUGAGAUUUCUACUCUGGUGCCACUGCA